rnacentral:rRNA from 1 species
GUGGGGAAUAUUGGACAAUGGGCGCAAGCCUGAUCCAGCCAUGCCGCGUGAGUGAUGAAGGCCCUAGGGUUGUAAAGCUCUUUCAGUGGGGACGAUAAUGACGGUACCCACAGAAGAAACCCCGGCUAACUUCGUGCCAGCAGCCGCGGUAAUACGAAGGGGGCUAGCGUUGUUCGGAUUUACUGGGCGUAAAGCGCACGUAGGCGGAUCGUUAAGUCGAGGGUGAAAUCCUGGAGCUCAACUCCAGAACUGCCUUCGAUACUGGCGAUCUUGAGUCCGGAAGAGGUGAGUGGAACUCCUAGUGUAGAGGUGGAAUUCGUAGAUAUUAGGAAGAACACCAGUGGCGAAGGCGGCUCACUGGUCCGGUACUGACGCUGAGGUGCGAAAGCGUGGGGAGCAAACAGGAUUAGAUACCCCGGUAGUCC